UACGUAAGAGACUAGUGUUAAUCAUCAUAAAUAGGUUUAAAGGGUACUCAGACGGAAAAUAUUCGCCUAAAAAAGGGACAAUUUUUCUAGAGUUUUAUGUAAGAAGAUCGUACUACUAGAGUGUAGAGAUCAUAUUUGUUGAUACCUAGGGACUGGUAAAGGCGAAGGCAAUCUUUAUGUAAAACUGACGUCGAAGGACGAAUGGCAAAGGGCACGAACAGG
rnacentral:rRNA from 1 species